AUUGAACGCUGGCGGCAGGCUUAACACAUGCAAGUCGAACGGUAACAUGAAGAAGCUUGCUUCUUUGAUGACGAGUGGCGGACGGGUGAGUAAUGCUUGGGAAUCUAGCUUAUGGAGGGGGAUAACUACGGGAAACUGUAGCUAAUACCGCGUAGUAUCGAGAGAUGAAAGUGUGGGACCUUCGGGCCACAUGCCAUAGGAUGAGCCCAAGUGGGAUUAGGUAGUUGGUGAGGUAAAGGCUCACCAAGCCGACGAUCUCUAGCUGGUCUGAGAGGAUGACCAGCCACACUGGGACUGAGACACGGCCCAGACUCCUACGGGAGGCAGCAGUGGGGAAUAUUGCGCAAUGGGGGCAACCCUGACGCAGCCAUGCCGCGUGAAUGAAGAAGGCCUUCGGGUUGUAAAGUUCUUUCGGUAGCGAGGAAGGCAUUUAGUUUAAUAGACUAGGUGAUUGACGUUAACUACAGAAGAAGCACCGGCUAACUCCGUGCCAGCAGCCGCGGUAAUACGGAGGGUGCGAGCGUUAAUCGGAAUAACUGGGCGUAAAGGGCACGCAGGCGGUGACUUAAGUGAGGUGUGAAAGCCCCGGGCUUAACCUGGGAAUUGCAUUUCAUACUGGGUCGCUAGAGUACUUUAGGGAGGGGUAGAAUUCCACGUGUAGCGGUGAAAUGCGUAGAGAUGUGGAGGAAUACCGAAGGCGAAGGCAGCCCCUUGGGAAUGUACUGACGCUCAUGUGCGAAAGCGUGGGGAGCAAACAGG
rnacentral:rRNA from 1 species